GUAAUAUAUCGGAACGUGCCCAGUCGUGGGGGAUAACGUAGCGAAAGUUACGCUAAUACCGCAUACGAUCUAAGGAUGAAAGCGGGGGACCGUAAGGCCUCGCGCGAUUGGAGCGGCCGAUAUCAGAUUAGGUAGUUGGUGGGGUAAAGGCUCACCAAGCCAACGAUCUGUAGCUGGUCUGAGAGGACGACCAGCCACACUGGAACUGAGACACGGUCCAGACUCCUACGGGAGGCAGCAGUGGGGAAUUUUGGACAAUGGACGCAAGUCUGAUCCAGCCAUUUCGCGUGCAGGAUGAAGGCCCUCGGGUUGUAAACUGCUUUUGUACGGAACGAAAAGGUCUCUAUUAAUACUGGGGGCUCAUGACGGUACCGUAAGAAUAAGCACCGGCUAACUACGUGCCAGCAGCCGCGGUAAUAUGUAGGGUGCAAGCGUUAAUCGGAAUUACUGGGCGUAAAGCGUGCGCAGGCGGUUAUGUAAGACAGAGGUGAAAUCCCCGGGCUCAACCUGGGAACUGCCUUUGUGACUGCAUAGCUAGAGUACGGUAGAGGGGGAUGGAAUUCCGCGUGUAGCAGUGAAAUGCGUAGAUAUGCGGAGGAACACCGAUGGCGAAGGCAAUCCCCUGGACCUGUACUGACGCUCAUGCA
rnacentral:rRNA from 1 species